rnacentral:rRNA from 1 species
GAAACAACCCAGACCGCCAGCUAAGGGUCCCNAANNNUNGCUCAGUGGGAAACGAAGUGGGAAGGCUAAAACAGUCAGGAGGUUGGCUUAGAAGCAGCCAUCCUUUAAAGAAAGCGUAAUAGCUCACUGAUCGAGUCGUCCUGCGCGGAAGAUGUAACGGGGCUAAGUCAYUCACMGAAGCUGCGGGUNUUGAGAUUCAAAUMUUWWACAYGGUAGGAGAGCGUUCCGUAAGCCAAAGAAGGUGUCUUGANAAGNANGCUGGAGGUAUCGGAAGUGCGAAUGCUGACAUGAGUAGCGAUAAAGNGGGUGAAAGGCCCNCUCGCCGUAAGCCCAAGGUUUCCCUACGCAACCGUUCAUUCGGCGUAGG